AGCGGCGGACGGGUGAGUAACGCGUGGGUAACCUGCCCUGUACACACGGAUAACAUACCGAAAGGUAUGCUAAUACGAGAUAAUAUGCUUUUAUCGCAUGGUAGAAGUAUCAAAGCUUUUGCGGUACAGGAUGGACCCGCGUCUGAUUAGCUAGUUGGUAAGGUAACGGCUUACCAAGGCGACGAUCAGUAGCCGACCUGAGAGGGUGAUCGGCCACAUUGGAACUGAGACACGGUCCAAACUCCUACGGGAGGCAGCAGUGGGGAAUAUUGCACAAUGGGCGAAAGCCUGAUGCAGCAACGCCGCGUGAGCGAUGAAGGCCUUCGGGUCGUAAAGCUCUGUCCUCAAGGAAGAUAAUGACGGUACUUGAGAAGGAAGCCCCGGCUAACUACGUGCCAGCAGCCGCGGUAAUACGUAGGGGGCUAGCGUUAUCCGGAAUUACUGGGCGUAAAGGGUGCGUAGGUGGCUUCUUAAGUCAGAGGUGAAAGGCUACGGCUCAACCGUAGUAAGCCUUUGAAACUGGGAAACUUGAGUGCAGGAGAGGAGAGUGGAAUUCCUAGUGUAGCGGUGAAAUGCGUAGAUAUUAGGAGGAACACCAGUUGCGAAGGCGGCUCUCUGGACUGUAACUGACACUGAGGCACGAAAGCGUGGGGAGCAAACAGGAUUAGAUACCCUGGUAGUCCACGCCGUAAACGAUGAGUACUAGCUGU
rnacentral:rRNA from 1 species